GGCGGUUGCCAUGAGGACCCAGGCCUUCGCGCCUGACGGCUGCUGUCGUGAAGCUGUGGAACGAGAGCCUCGCUAGAGAGGGAGUGAAGGGAGAGACGGGAGGAGGCGGAGCGCGGCGCUGGGGUUGGGGAAAGAAGAAGGAGAAGCAGGAGAAAGAGUCGAGAGCCGGUCCUGCUGCCGCUGCUGCUGCGGUUGCUGCUGCUCCGCGUGCAGGGCCUGGGGGUGCGCCGGCCGCACCCGCCGCUGAGGGGCCUCGAUGUAGGAGCCUCCCUGAGGGGCGCGGAUCCGGAGGCCGCAGCGCAGGAGACCCGCAGGGACUGUAGCAGCAGGAGGAGGAGGACGAGGCGGAGCAGGGCCCCCCGCGGGCGGGAUGUUCUCCAAGAAGCCCCACGGCGAUGUGCGGAAAUCCACGCAGAAGGUGCUGGACACCCGCAAGGACCCGCUCACCCGCCUCAAGCACCUGCGCGUCGUUAUCGAGAAUGCAGAGUCUAUAGAUCUUAAGCAGUUUUUCGACCAACAUUUUUCACACAUAUAUUAUGUGUUCUUUGAAAAUUUUGUGACUAUCGAAAUUGGUCUCAGACAGAAAGGUCACAAGUCGCAGAGGGAAGAAUUAGACGCAAUACUUUUCAUUUUUGAGAAAAUAUUGCAACUUCUUCCAGAAAGAAUUCAGCAAAGAUGGCAGUUUCACAGUAUUGGCUUAAUUUUAAAGAAAUUACUUCAUACAGGAAAUUCUUUAAAGAUUCGCCGUGAAGGUGUACGUCUUUUCCUCUUAUGGUUGCAAGCACUUCAGAAUAAUUGUAGUAAAGAACAGUUGUGUAUGUUUUCUUGUUUAAUACCUGGAUUUCCACCACCACAGUCUGAACAUGGGCCUCGAACACUAGAUAAUCUCAUAAACCCUGUACUGUAUGUUCAAGAAACACAGGUGACUGCAGAAGAAAUUAUUCCCCUUGUCCCUCCACAAUCAGGAGAUAAAGGACAAGAUGAUCUAACAAGCUAUUUUUUAGAAGCACUUUUGAAAUAUAUAGUAAUUCAGGUCAAAAGUCUAGAAUGGAAGAACAAAGAAAACCAAGAAAAGGGAUUUUCAUUCUUAUUUUCACAUUUUAAAAAAUAUUACUUGCCUUAUAUUUUCCCAAACAUGUGCAAGGAGAGCAGCUUGUAUAACCCUGUACUUGAGAUACCACAGAUGAGACCAAAGCCACAUUACAUAAUGAUAAAGAAAGAUGCUGAAACCAAUGAAGCAAUAUAUUGCACAAAGGAACCUUUCCUUAAAGCUCGUGUUAUUGUCAUCCGAUGGUUGGUGUCUUUCUGGCUUGAGCCAAAACCCCAUACAGGUCCUCAGAUUCCUGGAAUGGAAGGUGAAAUUGUGCCAAAGAAUAUUCAGAGAGCAGCUGCUAGCCUGGUUUCUAGAGAAGACAGCAAAAAUGAUAAUACAGAUAGACCUGAUAGAAAUGCAGAGCCAGAACAGUCGCAUUCUAACACAAGCACACUAACUGAACGAGAACCUAGUUCCUCCAGCCUUUGCAGUAUUGAUGAAGAGCACCUCACAGACAUUGAAAUCGUCCGCAAAGUUUUUUCUUCUAAAAGAAGCAACGUUAACUUUCUUACAGAAAUCUUUCGUCAGGCAUUUUUACUGCCAAUAUGUGAAGCAGCAGCCAUGAGGAAAGUUGUGAAAGUAUACCAGGAAUGGAUCCAACAAGAAGAAAAGCCCUUAUUUAUGAAGGACCCAGAAGAGAUCAUGUCAUCUUUACAGAUAGACUGUGAUGAAAACAUUGGAGAGCAUAAUUCAUCAGAGAAAGGAAAAGAAAGGGAAGAGGAAACGAUAGGUAAUUCUGGACCUGUUCGAAAUUCAAGCUGGGCAAGAAAUGGAAGUUAUCAGGAGGUUCCCCAGAAAAUAUCAGACUCUGAUGCUGUAGAACAAGGUAUACGAGCUGGAGUACAGGCAGUAUUACAGGUGUUUAUAACAAAUUCUGCAAAUAUAUUUCUUCUUGAGCCAGCAAAUGAGAUUAAACCCCUGUUGGACGAACAUACAGACAUGUGUAAACGCAUUCUUAAUAUCUACCGUUACAUGGUGGUGCAAGUAACAAUGGAUAAGAAGACCUGGGAACAAAUGCUGCUUGUGCUGCUCAGAGUCACAGAAUCAGUACUGAAAAUACCAUCUCAGAUUUUCCUACAGUAUCAAGGAAGAAAGAAUUCAACAUUAGCAGGAAGGCUUGCUGGACCUCUUUUCCAGACUCUUAUAGUAGCUUGGAUCAAAGCAAACCUAAAUGUGUACAUCUCCCGAGAACUUUGGGAUGACCUUUUGUCAGUAUUGUCAUCACUGACUUACUGGGAAGAGUUGGCCACAGAGUGGUCCCUAACUAUGGAGACCCUGACGAAAGUAUUAGCUAGAAACCUAUAUAGCCUGGAUCUUGGUGACUUGCCACUGGAUAAGUUAAGUGAGCAGAAACAAAAGAAGCACAAAGGCAAAGGAGUUGGGCAUGAGUUUCAUAAGGCAUCUGUUGAUAAGUCAUUUUCAAGAGGCUGGAGUCGUGAUCAACCUGGACAGGCACCAAUGAGGCAGCGCAGUGCAACAACUACUGGAUCUCCGGGAACAGAAAAGGCCAGAAGCAUAGUACGACAAAAAACAGUUGCCAUGAGAAGCCGAUCCAUUGGUGAAUGUGCUCUACCAUCGGCCUAUAUACGCAGUGCUAAAAGUGCUCCUGUUCUGAUCCAUACUUCCAAACCCUUCUUGCCUGAUAUUGUUCUCACUCCCCUUUCUGAUGAGCUUUCAGACAUGGAUGAUGCUCAGAUCCUUCCACGUCCACCUCGCAUCAGACAUUUUUCACAGAGCGAGGAAACUCCUAGUGAAGUUUUUGAUGCGCUGAAUGAAGAGCAACCACUUCCACGAAGUAGCAGUACAUCUGACAUCCUGGAACCAUUCACAGUUGAACGAGUCAAAGGUGCAGUUCCUGUCAUUGACGGUUCAUCUCAUCAUGCUCCAAGCUUGCAGAGUUCCACAGAGGCCUCUUCAAUAUGUAGAUCCACUGAAAGUCAUAUUACUGAUACAAAUAGCAGAGAGUCCUCUCUGGAAGUUGGGGAUAGUAUUUAUGACCAUCUCUGUCACUUAGUAAGCUCGGUAGAACUUUCAGAUACAGCCUCUGAACAAAACCAGUAUGUUGACCUUGAAGGUGAAGAUGAUCUUCUUUCAUCUCUGAGAGAAUAUCUUAAGGAAAAAGAAGAACUUUGCAGUAGCAUUGAAAUAGAUAAACAUGAGUCUGCUCUUCAUGAAGCUGACACAGGAAUAAAUAGUGAUAAAUUGCCAUUGGAUGGAAUAGAGAGUACAAACCAGACUGUUACAUGUACUAGUAGUAUCGCUAUUGCAGAAAGUGUUGAAAAUCCAGAGAUGCAACUGGAGCAAAACCAAAGUGGCUUUAUAAGUAACAUUGCACCUAGACAAGUAGACAGUUUUACAAGAAGCCAAGCUGAUAAAGCGAAACAGUUAAAUAUUGGUAGACAUAUCCAAAAUCCACCUGACCAAGGGUCAGGUAGCCCUGGUGGCAAGGAACGGAAGAGAUAUUUAUACCGCCAAAUUGCCACUGAUGUAGAUUUAUCUGUGGAAACAGUAUUAGCUGUAAAGAAUAAGAGUGUCCUCUUUAAUGAAAAAAUAACCAACACAAGUGUUAUGCAUGCAAAGAAAAUGCCACAUAAAGCUUUGGUUAACCCAGAAAUGCUUCACAUUACAGGCAUGAGCAAAGUGUCACCUACUAAGAGAAGUAUAUCUGAAACAGUAACCCAUAAGGCUAAAAUCAUGAAAAUAGCAGCUAAAAAGUGUAACAGUGUACAUGUCACUUUUAGGCCAUCUACCGAAUCUGUUCAAUUUUAUAAUCCAUUAGAAAACAGAGAGGCCCCAUGGAAAGCACGUCUCCGUAAACUCAGUGGUUUCAAUAGUGGGAGCAGCAGCAGCAAUAGCAGCAGCAAUAUGAGCACUGGCUCAUCUGCUGCGGCUGUGACAAUCAGACCCGGAAUAUAUAGGCCUCUAGACACAGCCAGUGCAACUUCUGCUAAUAGUAAACAGAUUAAAGAAUCAGGAGAAGUUCCAGCACCUACGCUGCAGAAGGAAAGUAUUGGAAUAAAUCCGAUGCCUAAUCGUAGCCCACCUAAGCCAUCGAGUCAGGAGUCGGGACAACAGCAGGGCGCCCUGGGUGGUGUUUAUAAAUCUGUUGUACAUGCUCUUUCGAAGCCGAAGGCAAAUGUUUCCCCACAGAGGCAGAACAGAGUGCCAGCAGAGGCUCCACUGAGGGAUCUGUACAGUCAUGUAAUGGGCUAUUUUGGAAAGAAAGCUGCAGCCAAUAGAGAGGAUAUGAACCAAAAGCAGAACCCUCUUGGUAGUGAUAAUGGCAGUAGUAAUACAAAUAUUCCUGACCUCAUGGAUGAAUUCAUAGCUGAAAGAUUACGCAGUGGCAGCACUUUGAAUGUGACAAGACGGGGGAGUAGUCCAGGAAGCCUAGAAGUUCCAAAAGAUCUUCCCGAUAUAUUGAACAAACAGAGUCAAAUGCGCCCUGCAGAUGACCCAGGCGUGCCUUCUGAGUGGACGUCUCCUGCCAGUGCCGGCAGCAGUGACCUGGUCAGUUCUGACAGCCAUUCGGACUCCUUCAGCGCAUUCCAGUAUGAUGGCCACAAAUUUGAAAAUUUCAGCUUGUGUCCUGAAGGUGGCACAACUUCUACAGAAUCCGAUGGUGGUUUGGGAAAUCAACAAAGUGCUGAAGAGCAAGAAGUAGCUAGUCUAACUACACUCCAUAUUGAUUCUGAGACCAGCAGUCUCAAUCAACAACCACUGUCUGCUGAAGCAGCAACUGUUACAGGUUCUGAAAGUGCUUCGCCAGUCCAGUCUGCCAUUGGAUCACGGUCCCAAACUCCAUCACCUGCUACUUUGAGUGCAGAUCACAAUGAACAGAAAGACCUACAGCUGGAUGAGAAGCUCCACCACUCUGUUUUACAGACACCAGAUGAUCUAGAAACUAGUGAUUUUCCAUCUGAAUGUUGUAGUGUGAUGGCAGGAGGAACCUUGACAGGAUGGCAUGCAGAUGUGGCUACUGUAAUGUGGAGAAGGAUGCUAGGAAUUUUAGGAGAUGUCAAUUCCAUUAUGGACCCUGAAAUUCAUGCACAAGUUUUUGAUUACCUUUGUGAACUCUGGCAAAAUCUUGCUAAGAUUAGAGAUAAUCUUGGCAUUUCAAUUGAUAACAUGACAUCACCUUCUCCGCCAGUUUUAAUUCCUCCACUGAGGAUUCUAACUCCAUGGCUUUUCAAGGCAACCAUGCUGAGUGAUAAGUAUAAGCAAGGCAAGUUGCAUGCUUAUAAACUCAUUUGUAAUACAAUGAAGCGAAGACAAGAUGUUUCCCCGAACAGGGACUUUUUAACGCAUUUCUAUAAUAUAAUGCACUGUGGGCUACUCCAUGUUGAUCAGGAUAUUGUAAAUACAAUAAUCAAGCACUGUUCGCCUCAGUUUUUUUCACUUGGUUUGCCUGGUGCUACUAUGCUCAUCAUGGACUUCAUUGUAGCAGCUGGCAGAGUGGCAGCAUCAUCUUUUCUCAAUGCACCAAGAGUAGAAGCACAAGUUCUCUUAGGUUCUUUGGUCUGUUUUCCGAAUUUGUACUGUGAACUACCAGCCCUAUACCCAAACACUCCAGACAUUGUUGUGUCUCAGUUUACAGAAGCUAAGGAAGUGAUCAUCAAAACAAUAUUAAGUUCUGCAAGAGAGGAACCAUCUGGACCUGCAAGAUGUGUUGCUCUUUGUAGUCUUGGCAUAUGGAUCUGUGAAGAAUUGAUGCAUGAAUCUCACCAUCCCCAAAUCAAGGAAGCCCUAAAUGUGAUCUGUGCCUCAUUAAAAUUUCCAAAUAAAACAGUUGCACAUGUUGCCUGUAAUAUGCUCAAUAUGCUGAUUCAGUAUGCAGACAGAUUACAAAUGUACCAAGCUGAUUCACCAUUAAAAAUUAUUCAAAUCCUGAUAGCUACCAUCACUCAUCUGUUGCCUAGUACUGAAGCUUCUUCAUAUGAACUGGACAAGAGGCUGGUGGUAUCUUUACUCCUGUGUCUGUUGGAUUGGAUAAUGGCCUUGCCUCUAAAGAGACUGUUACAACCUGUUCAAACUGCAGGAUCUGAAAAUGAUAAAACUGAAAAAACUGUUCUCAGCUGUAUAUACAAGGUUCUUCAUGGAUGUGUCUAUGGAUCUCAGUGCUUUAGCAACUCAAAAUAUUUUCCUAUAAGCCUCUCUGAUUUGGCGUCGCCGGAUUAUGAUCCUUUUAUGCAUUUGGAAAGUUUGAAGGAGCCUGAACCAUUACAUUCACCUGAUUCAGAAAGGUCUUCAAAACUCCAGCCAGUCACAGAAGUAAAAUCUCAUAUGCAACAAGGACUGAUCUCUGUGGCAGCUCGGACUGUGAUUACUCAUCUCGUAAACCAUUUAGGCCAUUAUCCAAUGAGUGGAGGACCUGCUAUGCUAACAAGUCAAGUAUGUGAAAACAAUGACAAUCCUUACAGCGAAAGUCCUGAGCUUUCCCCCGACCUAUUUGAGAAUCCCAACCUCCAAUUUUUUGUAUUGAACAAUACAACUUUAGUUUCAUGUAUACAAAUCCGAGCAGAAGAGAACAUGCCUGGAGGAGGCUUGUCUGCUGGACUUGCAUCUGCUAAUUCAAAUGUCAGAAUUAUUGUACGUGAUCUCUCUGGGAAAUAUUCCUGGGAUUCUGCCAUUCUGUACGGACCUCCACCUCUCUGUGGGUUAACUGAACCAACGCCUUUUGUGCUCUCAUUAGCCCAUCAAGACAAACCAGAAGAGGCCUCAGAAUGUUCUCCAUAUGUAGAAGAAUUAUGUGUAAAAGACGGAACUGUGCUCCCAGUAAAAAGGAAAUUGAGAGAGACUAUGCCAACAUGGGACACAAUUCGGGAUGAAGAAGAUGCCCUUGAUGAGCUCUUGCACUAUAUAGGAAUGACAAGUCCUGAGUGCUUGCAGAGGACAGGGGUAUCACUCAAUGUUCCUGCUCCUCAACCUGUUUGUGUCUCCGAAAAGCAGGAAAACGAUGUCAUCAAUGCAAUUCUCAAACAACACACAGAAGAGAGAGAUUUUGUUGAAAAGCACUUCAGUGACUUAAAUAUGAAGGCUAUGGAGCAGGAUGAACCAACCCCACAGAAGCCCUAUUCAGCAUUUUACUAUUGCAGAUUGCUUCUUAGUAUUCUGGGAAUGAAUUCUUGGGAUAAAAGGAGAAGCUUCCAUCUCUUGAAAAAAAAUGAAAAGCUACUUCGAGAACUUAGAAAUCUGGACUCAAGACAAUGCCGAGAGACGCACAAAAUUGCAGUAUUUUAUGUUGCUGAGGGUCAAGAGGAUAAACACUCCAUCCUUACUAAUACUGGAGGAAGCCAAGCAUAUGAGGAUUUUGUAGCAGGCCUUGGUUGGGAGGUAAACCUCACAAACCAUUGUGGCUUCAUGGGAGGGUUGCAGAAAAACAAAAGCACUGGAUUAACCACUCCAUAUUUUGCUACCUCUACUGUGGAAGUAAUGUUUCAUGUAUCAACUAGAAUGCCUUCUGAAUCAGAUGACUCAUUAACAAAAAAGUUAAGACAUUUGGGAAAUGAUGAAGUUCACAUUGUCUGGUCAGAGCAUACUCGAGACUACAGAAGAGGAAUAAUUCCUACAGAAUUUGGAGAUGUUCUCAUUGUUAUAUAUCCAAUGAAGAAUUUCAUGUUCAGUAUUCAGAUAAUGAAAAAACCUGAGGUUCCAUUCUUUGGUCCGUUGUUUGAUGGUGCUAUUGUAAAUGGAAAGAUUCUUCCUAUUAUGGUUCGUGCAACAGCUAUCAAUGCAAGCAGAGCGUUGAAGUCCCUCAUUCCGUUAUACCAAAACUUCUAUGAGGAACGAGCUCGGUAUCUGCAAACGAUUGUUCAGCACCAUUUAGAUCCUUCAACCUUUGAAGAUUAUGCAGCUCAGGUUUUCUGUCCAGCACCCUGCCACCACUUGCCCUCCGAAAAUGAUACCAAAUUUUCUGUUAAAGAAGUAAUGCCCAGGAACACAUCUACUUCCUUAACUGAGGUAUAUCUGUAUGAGCAUUUUUUGAGAUUUGUAUAAUUGGGAUUCUACACAUAGAAUGGGUGCUGUCAGAUCCUGAUUCUCUUUCCCCCAGAGGGUUAUAGAAACACCAGGAAAAAAAUGAAGGUUAGUUUGAGGAUUUCUGUUUGAAGCAGGGAAUUAUCUUUUUCUGCUACUAGUUAUGGAAGAUUCUUUGAGAUCUCUCCCAUUUCCAUAAAGGGGAGAGGCGUGCUCCUGCAAAUAGAAGAGGUCCUUUUGCUCAUGGAUGGAUACUUUUGGAUCCACCCAUGUUGCAAGGGUGUUGGAUUGGAGUCCCAUGUCCUUGUCAUCUUUGAACAUAAUUAAUGGUAGAAGAUACUUUGGAGAUUUUCUGCUGUUCUGUUUCUGAUCAAAGAUAGCAUGGUCUCCUCUUCCUCCCAAAACAGUUGUUGGGAGAGAGAGAUCAGCAUAACAAAUUUGGUGACCCAAAUUCUGACAGUCAGUGGCUUAAAUUAGGCAUGAAGUUAAAUAAUUCUUCUUUUCUGUACUUUGUAAAUCUAAAAAAUGUGUUCAAAACCUUCAAAGUGUUUCUUAAGAACAACUAAACUGCUAAAAUCUUUUACCUUAUAUAGACUCCUUCAGUCAUCCACAUACAUCAGUAAAUUACCGAAAUCUAUAUCAGCCACAAAAUCUAACCAAUUUGUUAUUUUACAAAAUUCAUAGUAGUAGUACCCCACUUUUCUCCCCUUACUGGGACCCAAAGUGCCUCACAGCCUUAAAAACUAUUCAUUGUAAAAAACCUACAAAAUGCAAAUAUUAAAAUAGAAUUAAAUAUUACAAUUAUUAAAGCAGUUAUCAAAACAAAUAAAAUAACUGUUAAAAAUAACUAACCCCAUGUAGAACUUCUUGUCCCAUUCUUUAAAACUUUCUGCUUAAAAUCCUUCCUGACUAAAAUGGUUUCAGCUUGCCGGUGGAAGGAUAACAAGGAGGCAGCCAGUCUCCCUUGGUGGUGGGACUGAGAGAAGGACCUCUCCUAAGGAUCUCUGAAUCCAGGCAGGGAGAUACAAUCUUCCAAAUAGUUUGGAUCUGACCUAUAUAAACCAUGUCCCUAAAAUGUAAGCUCUUUAAUUCUUCAUAUUUAUUAAUAGGGAGUUUUUUGGCCAAGAUCCUGCAUAGUCAGGAAGAUUAUACUUGCAAGUAUGAAAUAAUUACAUCUGACAGUGCCACACCCCAAAACUCUUUAUUUUUCAGUUUUGCAGCACCCCAACUGAAGGAUUUCCAAGGUGUUAUGGAGGGGGGGGGCGAAGGCGAAGGGGGGGUGGAGAGAACCUCUGGAGUCCUUCCACAACUGCUUGCCUUGAAGCACUCCAUGACUAAGAGAGCAAUACUAAGACCUGCAACACUUUGAACAUCCUCUAUUGGGGCACUGCCAGGCUGAAAAAGUAGGAUUUGGAGUUUGUGUCCAAUAAAUGUGAAUCCCCAACAAUUACAAAAUUGUACAUCCAGUUUACUAUUUCAUAAAUAUUGAACAAGAUACCAGCCUAAAUAUAUGUAGGUUAUUUGUUUAUUACUAUUUUUAAUAGUAGCUGCAAUACUUUUAUAUCUGAUUUUUGGAUUACAGUGAACAUUUUUUGCAUGUUAAUUGUAAUACAUUGACAUAUUUAACAAAUCCAAAUAGAUUACAUAUGAAAUUAAAAUUAUGGAAAAAAUUAGUUACUAGAUAAAUCACAUGUCCAUUGUUAUCAUAUAAAACUUAAAAUUGCACUGCUCUGCAAUCCUACACAUACACACCCCAAAUGCUAAUUGAUUUUGUUUCCUAUGAACAUACAUAGACUUAUUCUGCACUUAUACCCCUGGUUUAUCAAGCUGCUGUUUUCACAAGCACUAAAUAUAUUCUAAAUAUAAAUAUUUAGCAUUUAUAUCUAGCAUUUAUAGUUCUUUUGCAAGUUGGUGAUUUUUACUGUUGAAUGUUCUCAGUGGAAUAUGUUUUGAACUAAGAGAAUAGGCAUAAUUUUAAAAAUAACUUCAUUUAUUUCAUUAAACUUAGAGAAAUUGUUGUUUAUCUACACUAGCUGUUGUCAUGGUAAUAUUUUAUCCUAGGGGUUUUUUAAUCAAAAUGAGUGAAUUAUAUUUUUAUCAUAAUGUUAUAUCUUAUUUAUAGCAAUGAGGCUGUUGGAUCAGAACUAUUUUUAUACACAUCUUCUUUUUCCCUUUUUUUUGUUUGGAUUUUUGGGGGUAACCUAUAGUCGGCUCCUACCCAGAGACUCAGGCGUCCGAAGCUCCAGCAGCAGCGCAGAUGGACGGGCCCGAUCUAGCCUUCCCCAUUUCACCCCGGUCUAGCAAGAGUCGCAUGUCUAUGAAGCUGCGGCGAUCCUCU